GUUUUUUAAUUGAAGGCUGGAAUGAAUGGUUGGACAAGAAAUAAUCUGUCUUAAUUAAAGAUAUUGAAUUUAACUUUUAAGUGAAAAGGCUUAAAUGAUCUGAAGGGACGAUAAGACCCUAUAAAACUUUAUAUUUAAAGGUAUAAAUUAUUUUUAUUUUUAUGUUAAUAUUUAAGAGUAUUUGGUUGGGGCGACAAGGAUAGGAUAUUAAGUAACUGUCUUUAUUUAAAACAAUAAUAUUUGGUUUAAUGAUCCUAAAAGGGAUUAAAGAUUAAGUUACUUUAGGGAUAACAGCGUAAUUUUCUUUGAGAGUUCUUAUCGACAGGAAAGUUUGCGACCUCGAUGUUGAAUUAAAGGUUCUUUAUAGAGUAGAGACUAUAAUAGAAGGUCUGUUCGACCUUUAAAAUUUUACAUGAUUUGAGUUCAGACCGGUGUGAGCCAGGUUGG
rnacentral:rRNA from 1 species